GACUUAACAGGAAGUACAUAUAUCAGCAUACUCGAGUGGCUCCUUUUGCGCAUCUCCUGCAGAGCAAAGACAGAGAAGAAACUUUCAUUGCUCUUCAAUUUCUUCAUGAGAUCCUGAAAAUACCAAGGUAUACAUGAUAUCCAACAAUAUAUAAAAAAAAAAAUCUCUUUUUUGACUACCGGUGAAAUAUUUCAUAUGAUAACUUACUUGUAAUUUCAGGUCGUCAGCGAUUAAAAUUCUGCAGCAGAUAAAGAAAGAAGGAAGUUUUGACAUUAAGGAUACAUUAAUACAGUGUAUUAAACAGUUUCAGGGCGAUCACAAGCUCUUUGCAGCAGAUAUAUUGCUUCAGCUGACUGCGCUGGUUAGUUCUAAACAUUAAGAAAAGACAUGUCUUAUUGAUUCUAUUCCUAAAGAAACAUUUUCAUAUCGAAAUUUUCAACAGGAUUCUACUCCUGAGAGCAAAAAGUUCAGAAAUGAGGCCACCAGAGCUCUCAUUGAUGCAGUUACAUAUAGUAAAGGUUCAAAUAUGCAGCUUUUAUCAACAUUCAUUCUUUCGAAUAUCGGUGGAACUUAUUCAUGGAAAGGAGAACCAUACACUGCUGCUUGGCUAAUGAAAAGAGGAGGUCUAACUUCUAUGUCACACAUGAAUAUGAUAAGAGACAUCAACUGGUCAGAUGAAUGUUUACAGGUAUUUUUUAAAAAACUUAAAACAUUCUAAUAACAACUAACAAGCCAAGCCAAAGCCAAAAAGAGAGAAUUAUGGAAAACUUCAUAAAUUUUUGCAGGAUACAGGAAUAGAUGGAUGGUGUUGUAAGAUAGCAAGAAGAAUUAUUGAGACAGGAAAAGCCACGUUUUGCGGUUUACAAGAAGGUCUGAAGAGUAAAAACAAGAAUAUUGCAAAGGAAUGUCUUAUAGCCAUUGCGUGGCUCAGUAUAGAGAUUUCAAAAGGUCCAAAUAGUUUAAAAUAUUCAGCAUGUGAAGUCCUACUUGAUGACAUAGCACAAUUUCUACACCCUGGUUUGGAGCUUGAAGUGAGGCUCCUUGCUUGUAUAUGCAUCUACAAUUUUAGCUCUGGCAAAGGUGAAUUUCCUAAAUAAUGGUUCAAGACAAAAUAUGCAUUUGAUAAUUUGCUAACUUAAGCAUGUGUCUGUAAGCUUUAUACUAAAGUGUAGUUGUUCACUCAGGAAUCCACAAGCUAAUCAAUUUCUCGGAAGGAAUUAGGGAGUCUUUAAGACGUCUUUCAAAUGUGACUUGGAUGGCAGACGAAUUGCAUAAAGCAACAUAUUAUCUAUUCAGCAAAUCAGUAAGUUUUUUUCAAAUUAUUAAAAUCUCUACCAUCAUCAAAACCACAAGUUAUCGCAACCAUGUAAUAGAAUCAUAGUCAAGUCUUAGAUUUUAGUGACUCUUAUUUCUGACCAUUUUAAAAAUCGAUAGGACCAGCGCAUAUCUUGUGUUCAUACACAAACCAUAGAGAUGCAUCAAUCUGGGAGUGGAGCUGUAACAGCUCUCAUCUACCAUAAAGGCUUGCUCUUCAGUGGAUACUCAGAUGGUUCAAUCAAGGUACGUAUAUAUGUGUCAUACUUUAGUUAUUACUUAAGAAAAAAAACAAAUUGAAUAGGAAGACAAAUGUUUGAAAGAAACCUUACCUUGAGAAUGCAAUAUUAUCAGGUGUGGAAUGUGAAUGAGAAAUUAGCCACGAUUAUAUGGAACAUCAAGGAGCACAAAAGCACCGUCACAUGCUUUUCAAUCUCUGAAACAGGAGAGAGUGUCUUCAGUGGAUCUGCAGAUAAAACUAUUAGGGUAUGAAAAUGAUUCAGCUCAUUGUUUCCAGGAAACAUCACGUCUGUAUAUAAGGCGAAAAAUGAUCUGUGAAAUGUAUGUUUGACCUUCUCUUAUAUAGAUGUGGCAGAUAGUCAAAGGAAAACUGGAAUGUACUGAAGUCAUAAAAACAAA
rnacentral:lncRNA from 1 species